GAUGAGCGCUGGCGGCGUGCCUAAUACAUGCAAGUCGAGCGAACAGACGAGGAGUUUGCUCCUCUGACGUUAGCGGCGGACGGGUGAGUAACACGUGUAUAACCUACCUAUAAGACUGGGAUAACUUCGGGAAACCGGCGCUAAUACCGGAUAAUAUAUUGAACCGCAUGGUUCAAUAGUGAAAGACGGUUUUGCUGUCACUUAUAGAUGGAUCCGCGCCGCAUUAGCUAGUUGGUAAGGUAACGGCCUACCAAGGCAACGAUGCGUAGCCGACCUGAGAGAGUGGUCGGCCACACUGGAAGUGAGGCACGGUCCAGACGCCUGCGGGAGGCAGCAGUAGGGAAUCUUACGCAAAGGGCGAGAGCCUGACGGAGCAACGCCGCGUGAGUGAUGAAGGUGUUCGGAUCGGAAAGCUCUGUUAGUAGGGGAGAACAAAUGUGUAAGUAACUAUGCAGGUCUUGACGGUACCUGAUCAGAAAGCCACGGCUAACUACGUG
rnacentral:rRNA from 1 species